rnacentral:rRNA from 1 species
UAUGCACGCUGGCGGCGUGCCUAAUACAUGCAAGUCGAGCGAACAGACGAGGAGCUUGCUCCUCUGACGUUAGCGGCGGACGGGUGAGUAACACGUGGAUAACCUACCUAUAAGACUGGGAUAACUUCGGGAAACCGGAGCUAAUACCGGAUAAUAUAUUGAACCGCAUGGUUCAAUAGUGAAAGACGGUUUUGCUGUCACUUAUAGAUGGAUCCGCGCCGCAUUAGCUAGUUGGUAAGGUAACGGCUUACCAAGGCAACGAUGCGUAGCCGACCUGAGAGGGUGAUCGGCCACACUGGAACUGAGACACGGUCCAGACUCCUACGGGAGGCAGCAGUAGGGAAUCUUCCGCAAUGGGCGAAAGCCUGACGGAGCAACGCCGCGUGAGUGAUGAAGGUCUUCGGCUCGUAAAACUCUGUUAUUAUGGAAGAACAAAUGUGUAAGUAACUAUGCACGUCUUGACGGUACCUAAUCAGAAAGCCACGGCUAACUACGUG